CACCUACUGCCGCUGAAGUUUUAAGGAUCCCUCCCGUGGCAAUUAGAUUAAACAGCACUUCUGAGCCCCAGCAAAGAAAAGCAAACUGCACAACACGCCGGUCGGAGGCACGGCCCGCAGACACUACCAACAAGAGAUUAAAAAAUUCACCUGAAUCUUUAAAGUACUCGUUGCUGUUGCUGCCUUGCCUCUGGGAUGUGGCUUGGUCCCAGUUCACAGGCUGACUCCGGAGCAUCACAGCCUCAUCAUGGACGAAAUCUAACUUGAUCUACUGGGGUGGCUGCAGAGGGUGCUGUUAACCUGCGCACACCAGCACAAAACCAGGACUCCACUGAGCAGGACAGACCCAAGAAUUUUCCUCAGGAUGACAGUUCCAGCUCUGCACAGACCUGGCUGCUACAACCCACCUGAAAACUCUAACUGAACAUGCCAGAGAAAGGCCAGGUCCUGCUGGCACAUCCCAUCUAGCUGUCCUGAGUUGGUACUUUGGAAAAAACAUCCCCUGUUUUCCUGUUAGUGGUAGCAGGACCUUGCUACUCCCUGCCUGGUCUUGACAUGCUCUGGGAUGGGGACGGGGAUGUGGGUGGCAGGUGAGAGGGGGGGAAGGCAGAAGGUGGAAAGCUUGUGUUUCCAGCCUCAGCACCCUUCAGGCAGGCUAUGUGGUACUCAGUCCACCCAGCCCUGCCCUCAAACCACAGGAGUUUUGAUUGUAAAAAGGCAGAACAGAAAGACUGGAGGGUGAAAAAUGUUCCCAGUGAGGAACUUAGAGGAAACAUCAGAAGACAGUUCCCAAAUUAUCCCAAGAUCAUCCCACCCUAUCUACUAUUGCUGCUCAGUGGAAAAAACAGUGAAAACCACAUCAGAAACAAGUCCAGAACUGCUGUGAAUGAAGGCAAACAGAAACUCACACCUUGUUUUACUGUCCCAUAGCUGCUGCACAGGGCUUUUAGUCUCUGUGACCUGGUCCUCAAAACUUCACCUGUAGGAACCUCCUCUGGAUGUGUUUUGGCUUUGUUCCUAUCACUCCUCAGAUGUCCCAGCUCCAUCAGCAGAGCUGUUCCCCCACCGAGGCCCCAAAAAGCCUGGAGGGAAACAACUGCAGCAGGUAGUGCUAUGGCUGCUUGCUGCAAGACCCCAAGUCCCCUGGGGCCACUUUUAGCAAAGCUAAUGCAUUAACUGCAGUUAGGAGCACUAAAGACCUGCAGCUGGGAUCCCUACCUGUGUUGUCUCCUUUCCUUUUCCUUGGAUGUGUUUUUACAUUUUAGUAAACUUCAGAGUUUCUUGAUGCAUCUUCAGAGAUCCAUAAGAAGCAUCACCCUAGUUUCUAUCCCUUCAUUCCCCCAUAGGACAGCAGCAGUGAUUCCUGAAAUAAAAAUAACACCUGUGUGUUUCUACCCAA